GGCAGGUACUGGAGGUCCGAACCCACUAAUUUUGAAAAAUUAGGGGAUGGGCUGUGGAUAGGGGUGAAAGGCUAAACAAAUCCGGAAAUAGCUGGUUCUCCCCGGAAACUAUUUAGGUAGUGCGUCAUGUAUCACUUGCGGGGGUAAAGCACUGUUAUGGCUAGGGGGUCAUCGCGACUUACCAAACCAUGGCAAACUCUGAAUACCGCAAAGUGCGAGCAUGGCAGACAGACAGUGGGUGCUAACGUCCAUUGUCAAGAGGGAAACAACCCAGACCGCCAGCUAUGUCCCCAAGACACAGUUAAGUGGGAAACGAAGUGGGAAGGCAUAGACAGCUAGGAGGUUGGCUUAGAAGCAGCCAUCCUUUAAAGAAAGCGUAAUAGCUCACUAGUCGAGUCGUCCUGCGCGGAAGAUGUAACGGGGCUCAAACUGUGCACCGAAGCUGCGGAUAUCGAAAGAUAUGGUAGGGGAGCGUUCUGUAGGUCUGUGAAGGUGUCUUGUAAAGGAUGCUGGAGAUAUCAGAAGUGCGAAUGCUGACAUGAGUAGCGAUAAAGGGCGUGAAAAGCGCCCUCGCCGAAAGCCCAAGGUUUCCUACGCAACGUUCAUCGGCGUAGGGUGAGUCGGCUCCUAAGGCGAGGCAGAAAUGCGUAGUCGAUGGGAAACAGGUCAAUAUUCCUGUACCGAUUCUAGAUGCGAUGUGGGGACGGAGAAGGUUAGGUCAGCCGGGUGUUGGACGUCCCGGUUUAAGCGUGUAGGCGUGCCCCUUAGGCAAAUCCGGGGGGCUGAGCUGAGGCGUGAUGACGAGGAACCACGGUUCCGAAGUGAUUGAUACCAAGCUUCCAGGAAAAGCCACUAAGCUUCAGUCUAGAGUUGACCGUACCGCAAACCGACACAGGUGGGCAGGAUGAAAAUUCUAAGGCGCUUGAGAGAACUCAGGAGAAGGAACUCGGCAAAUUAACACCGUAACUUCGGGAGAAGGUGUGCCCCGGUAGCGUGUAGAGACUUGCUCUCGAAGCGCGAUGGGGUUGCAGUGAAAUGGUGGCUGCGACUGUUUAAUAAAAACACAGCACUCUGCAAACACGAAAGUGGACGUAUAGGGUGUGACGCCUGCCCGGUGCCGGAAGGUUAAGUGAUGGGGUGCAAGCUCUUGAUCGAAGCCCCGGUAAACGGCGGCCGUAACAAUAACGGUCCUAAGGUAGCGAAAUUCCUUGUCGGGUAAGUUCCGACCUGCACGAAUGGCGUAACGAUGGCCACACUGUCUCCUCCUGGGACUCAGCGAAGUUGAAAUGUUUGUGAAGAUGCAAUCUACCCGCGGCUAGACGGAAAGACCCCAUGAACCUUUACUGUAGCUUUGCAUUGGACUUUGAACCGGC
rnacentral:rRNA from 1 species